AAUGUCUUCACUUCAUUUAAUCAAAGAUAGCUACUUAUUCUAACACUGUGGUUUUCAAAUUCAUUCUUAUUUAACUCCCGAUGUCCAUCCCAUCUUCUGUUUUUUAAAUGAAGCCCCCUGUAUUACAGAGACAUAUGCUCUGGCUGGAGUGGGGUUGAAGAUCCAGAUCCGGGAGCCCCCUUAUCUAGUAUCCUCACCUUUCUGUUCUUGCAGUAGUUCCUGAAGGACUCUAUGGAAAACUUAAUGUCCAGCAAAACACACUGGUUUUGAAGAAAAGUAUCAAUGAUUCAACUAUCUGUUGGUGAGGGGAAUCUUACUUUCCUAUAGUUUAGAUAAACUCUUGUUCUUUUUUACUUAUUUAUUUAUUUGCAACUGGCUAGAGUCUAAAAAUAAGUUUGGAACCCCCUGGACAACAUGUUCUGCUGAUGUUAGAACUUAAGUUGGAUCCCAAUUUUUAUAUCUUGCUCUUCAAGGGCUGGUCAAAUUCUCCUGAGAUGUGUUCACCAGAAAGAGCCAACAGCUGAGUAGCUAAAACCUGACAUAUUGAAAACCAAAGGAAACUCAGAUUUUCAGCAGUCUCAGAAGGCUAAUCAACUUUCUCUGCAUGAAUGAACUUAAUCUUACAUUUGAAGCUUAUUCCAUUUUGGGAGACACAAUGGCUCCUAUCUACCUCACAUUUGCACCUGUAUGAUAGAUGGAACCUUGUUGCCAUGAAGUUUUUUCUCAAGGGACAGACACACACGGAGGGAAGAUGAUGUGAAGGCCACGUGAAGACGAAGACAGAGAUUGGAGUGAUGCAUCUGCAAGCCAGAGAGUGCCAGCAGCCACCAGAACCAGGAGACAGGCCUGGAAGGAACCAACGUUGGCAAUACCUCAGUUUUGGCACUCUAGCCUCCAGAACUGUGAGGUGAUAAAUUCCCGGAAUUAGGCCAUCCAGUUUCUGGUACUUUGUUAUGGCAGCCCUAGGAAAUGAAUACAUUCAAUGAAGGAGGCACUAUUAAUUGUUCCCAUUUUGCAGAUGAGGAAACUGAGGCACAGAGGAAUGAAGGGAUUUGCACAGCUGGUAAGUGAUUUAAACUCACACACUUUGGCUCCAGUAUCUGUGUUUUCACCCAUUAUACUAAAGUGCCUCUUGUCUCUUUUUUAGUUUACGACCUUUCCUUUCUUAGCUCUUUUCAGUCUUCUCACUGCCUUCGCACUGUA